GUUGAUGUUAGGUAGGCAGCUACAGUAGCUGAAUGAUGUUAACAUCUUCAGGUUUUGUUUCAUUAAAUGUAUUUUAUUUUAUCUGGGUGCUUACGUCACCUACUGACACCCUGGUACUACCCAUAGAUCCCGCUCUCCUCAGUCUGAGAAAACACUGAGAGAGAAAGAUCGACAUAAAAGCCUAAAAGACAGCCGUGGUGUUGCUCUUCAUUUCUUGGUUCUCCUGUGGUGCAUAAGAAACCCGCUACAGAUUGGUGCCGUGACCCGGAUCAACAGAUCAGCUGCAGCAGAUCGCCGGGGGACCCCUAAACAGAACUGGAUCGACAUCACACGUUUAAAACAUUUGAGGGCAAGAACAACUUGUCAGGUGGUGCAUUGGAGACUGAUGUGUUCCUGUCCUGUCUUUUCAUAAUACUAUUGCAGAUCGACAUAAAAGCCUAAAAGACAGCCGUGGUGUUGCUCUUCAUUUCUUGGUUCUCCUGUGGUGCAUAAGAAACCCGCUACAUAUGCUGCAGCUAACCACUCAUCUGCUCUCUCUGGGGAGAUGAAUGCUCUUCCCCGCUCACUCUGGGGAGAGGGUCACAUUGAGCACCACCUGACAGUUCUCCGGUUCGCCCCACACACCUUCGAAGACACCUAGCACACGGUUGAGCCGCGCUCACCGCUUCAACAAUUUCUGCAAAUUGAGACGGGUAAGAUGUGUGAUGUACUGUAAAACUGACACCUUUCUACACUACUUCAAUUCUCAGAGACAAAACAUCUGUAAGCUAAACCUUCCAGGUCUCACUGUCUUUGUUUUUUUUUAUAGCUUAUUAAGCCAUCACCAGUAUGAGUGAUAGUUAUAUUUAACAACAUUUGUGUUUGGUAGAUUUUCAUUACUCUAUACCAGACGUAUAGAUUUAUAUUAUUAUACAUUUGAAAUGUUUUCUUGAAAGAAACAAAUGAAUUCCUGUAGGGACCUUAUGAAAAGCUUGAACCAAAAGGGAUUUCAAAUAUGAACUAAACAAGUAGUUAAAGAGCAGCAGUAAAAUAACAAUAGCGAGACUAUAUAGUGUGGUACCGGUACAGAGUCAAUGUGUGGGGGCACCGGUUAGUCGAGGUAAUUGAGGUAAUAUGUACAUGUAGGUAGAGUUAUUAAAGUGACUUUGCGUAGAUAAUAACAGAGUAGCA
rnacentral:lncRNA from 1 species